rnacentral:rRNA from 1 species
CGGAGGGUGCGAGCGUUGUCCGGAAUCACUGGGCGUAAAGGGCGCGUAGGCGGCCCGGGAAGCGUGGGUGAAAGUCCGGGGCUCAACCCCGGAUCGGCCUCGCGAACUCCCGGGCUGGAGCACUGUAGGGGCGGGUGGAAUUCCGGGUGUAGCGGUGGAAUGCGUAGAGAUCCGGAAGAACACCGGUGGCGAAGGCGGCCCGCUGGGCAGUGGCUGACGCUGAGGCGCGACAGCGUGGGGAGCAAACAGGAUUAGAUACCCUGGUAGUCCACGCCGUAAACGAUGGGCACUAGGUGCCUGGGGGAGCGACCCCCCGGGUCGCCGUCGCUAACGCAUUAAGUGCCCCGCCUGGGGAGUACGGCCGCAAGGCUGA